rnacentral:rRNA from 1 species
GACGAACGCUGGCGGCGUGCCUAAUACAUGCAAGUCGAACGAACCGCGACUAAGUGCUUGCACUAAGUCAAGGUGAGUGGCGAACGGGUGAGUAACACGUGGGUAACCUACCUCAUAGUGGGGGAUAACAGUCGGAAACGACUGCUAAUACCGCAUAGGACAUAGGAUCACAUGAUCCAGUGAGGAAAGGUGGCGCAAGCUAUCGCUAAGAGAUGGACCCGCGGUGCAUUAGCUAGUUGGUAGGGUAAAGGCCUACCAAGGCGAUGAUGCAUAGCCGACCUGAGAGGGUGAUCGGCCACAUUGGGACUGAGGCACGGCCCAAACUCCUACGGGAGGCAGCAGUAGGGAAUCUUCCGCAAUGGACGCAAGUCUGACGGAGCAACGCCGCGUGAGUGAAGAAGGUCUUCGGAUCGUAAAGCUCUGUUGUUAGAGAAGAACAGCGCAUAGAGUAACUGCUAUGCGUGUGACGGUAUCUAACCAGAAAGCCACGGCUAACUACGUG